GGUGGACAAUCUAAGGGAACUAAAUUAACAUGGAUUCCAGCACAGUGUGCUCAACAACCGGGAUCACUAGAUUGUGGCUACUACGUCAUGCGUUUUAUGUACGACAUAAUAAUGAAUCAUGGUAAUAGUCAAGAUCUUACUAAGGAUUUUUCAAGAACAUUGCCUUAUUCACCGGAGGAGAUUAAUGAGGUGAAAGAUUUUUGGGCAGAUUACUUCAUGAACAAUGUCGAAUUUUUAGCUUAAUUUGUAAUAUGAACUUGAUCUCUAGCUAGCUACGUACCUUUGUUGUAAUAAUUUUAUGUUUGUUGUAACAUGUUGGUUGAUCUAUGACGAAUUUAAUUGCCUUUUAUUGGGAACGUUAAUUACGUUGUAAACUUUUGUGACAGGUAUUAUUUAUAAAUGUAUUCCCGGUAUUGGGAAUGAAGC